rnacentral:lncRNA from 1 species
CUGGAAUCCAUCAUGGGGAGUAGACUGGGGGAGCCAAGGAUGCAAAGCAUCCCUGGGCCAGGGAAGACCAACAGAACGAACUCCUUCUCAGGAGAUAGAGAGAACUAAGAAUCAUCAGAUCAGCCCCUAAGGCUAAAUUCCCAUAUCUGUUCCAGACAAUCAGGAAUAGACUCAAGAGUGUCAAACCAACAGCUCAGACUCUGCAUUCACGGGAUUGGGGUGAGGGUGAGGAUGAGAAAAGAGGCUUGCCAGAGAGGAGGGCACCCACCAAAGAAAGUGCCCAGGAGAAGGGCAAGGAGAGAGCAGAGCAUCAUCCAAGCCAGCCUUUCCUUCAGCUAGUCUGGGGGACAGACGCCUCCUCUUCUGGGCCAGUGAUGUGGUCAGGCUGCUCCCUCUGGGAGAUCUGCUGCCAGAGCAGAGGAAUCCUACCCCAUGAGCUGGGGAGGAAAUGAGGCUAGUCUUCUUUUAAGAGUGUGGUGAAUCACCCCCAGCCUCCCUGGGAACCAGCUAUACUCUGCACUUGUUAUCUUCUUUGCAUUCCUGCUGACAUCCUGAAGAGUUAAAAAUUACCUGGGCUAAUGGAAAGAAGGGAGAGUCAGCCAAUUAGAUGCUCCUGAAUGCCCUGAAUUGUGACUUACCUCUUCUUAUCCACAUCCUGAUCAAGGAAAGGGAUGAGAGAGAGGUGGAGAGAGAAGAAAUGGAAAUUCAAAAGUUUUGACGGCAGAGGAAAAUUGUGCUUAUUUCCAGAAUGAGACGAACAAGGUCCUGGGUCCCUACAUGUCAUACUGGCUAGAGACUGGGAAACAGAUUAACUGAGAGAAGCCAUCAAGCCUGAAGAGACAUCGUGUUUGAAAUGUGUAAGGCACAGUGUACCCGCCGUGGAUCAAAACAACCUGAAGGACAGACAGACAGACACACCGAGGAUCAGCAGAUAUCAGUGGGGACAGGUGCUGAUGAUGGUGCAAAUGAGAGUCAUGAAGGAAAGUUAAAUGAUGACCAAAGACCAAGUACCUUCCCCACAAUGCUUUGACAAGCGCUUUUAUAAGCACCCUGGAAUUUAGACACUACCCGGGGAGAAAAGGAAAGGGAGACAAGCAUGAAUUGUCUGAGAAACCCCUGAAUUAAUCAUGUGUACCCCAAUGCAACAAGGAUCUAGAUAUAGAAUAAUUUUAAUUAUAGAAAACAAAAUUAUAUUUUACCCACCCAUAUUUGAUGCCCAUGAAUUUCACAUCUACCUUACGUGCACAUAAAAUUCAAGCUUAGAUAGACGGAAAACAAAAAAUCAAGAAGCAAUAUUUGCCUUCUAAUAACUUAUCUAUUGGAGGAGGUAAAAGAUAGAAAAGUAGUUCAGAUGACAAAUACUAAAAGAGUUAGGAACUUCUGCUUCCACUUACGAUGAAGGAACUUGUACUCAAUCCAUCCACUUUGUAAUUCUCCUUGAGCUGCUGUAAUAAAGUACCACAAACUGGGUGACUUAAAACAACAGAAUUUAUUGUCUCAUGGUUCUGGAGCCUAGAAGUCUAAAAUCAAGGUAUCAACAGAGCUAUGCUUCC